GUCGAGCGGACUGAUGGGAGCUUGCUCCCAUCAGUCAGCGGCGGACGGGUGAGUAACACGUGGGUAACCUGCCUGUAAGACUGGGAUAACUCCGGGAAACCGGGGCUAAUACCGGAUAACUCAUUUCCUCGCAUGAGGAAAUGUUGAAAGGUGGCUUUUAGCUAUCACUUACAGAUGGACCCGCGGCGCAUUAGCUAGUUGGUGAGGUAACGGCUCACCAAGGCGACGAUGCGUAGCCGACCUGAGMGGGUGCUAAAAACACACUGGGACUGAGACACGGCMAANACUCAUACGGGAGGCAGCAGUAGGGAAUCUUCCGCAAUGGACGAAAGUCUGACGGAGCAACGCCGCGUGAGUGAUGAAGGUUUUCGGAUCGUAAAACUCUGUUGUUAGGGAAGAACAAGUACCGUUCGAAUAGGGCGGUACCUUGACGGUACCUAACCAGAAAGCCACGGCUAACUACGUGCCAGCAGCCGCGGUAAUACGUAGGUGGCAAGCGUUGUCCGGAAUUAUUGGGCGUAAAGCGCGCGCAGGUGGUUCCUUAAGUCUGAUGUGAAAGCCCACGGCUCAACCGUGGAGGGUCAUUGGAAACUGGGGGACUUGAGUGCAGAAGAGGAAAGUGGAAUUCCAAGUGUAGCGGUGAAAUGCGUAGAUAUUUGGAGGAACACCAGUGGCGAAGGCGACUUUCUGGUCUGUAACUGACACUGAGGCGCGAAAGCGUGGGGAGCAAACAGGAUUAGAUACCCUGGUAGUCCACGCCGUAAACGAUGAGUGCUAAGUGUUAGGGGGGUUUCCGCCCCUUAG
rnacentral:rRNA from 1 species